UACAGAGGUCUCAAGCGUUUGUUCGGAUUCAUUGGGCGUAAAGGGUGCGUAGGUGGCGCGCUAAGUCAGGUGUGAAAUUUCGGAGCUUAACUCCGAAACUGCAUUUGAUACUGGCGUGCUUGAGGACUGGAGAGGAGACUGGAAUUCAUGGUGUAGCAGUGAAAUGCGUAGAUAUCGAGUAAGGAAGACCAGUGGCGAAGGCGGGUCUCUGGACAGUUCCUGACGCUGAGGCACGAAGGUCAGGGGAGCAAACGGG
rnacentral:rRNA from 1 species